GAUGAAGAACGUAGCGAAAUGCGAUAAGUAAUGUGAAUUGCAGAAUUCAGUGAAUCAUCGAAUCUUUGAACGCACAUUGCGCCCAUUAGUAUUCUAGUGGGCAUGCCUGUUCGAGCGUCAUUAAGUCCACUUAAGCCCUGCUUAGUGUUGGGAGACUGCUCCAGCGGUGCUACCCUGUAGCUACCCUGCAGCUCCUCAAAGACAGCGGCGGAGUUGUGGUAUCCUCUGAGCUUAGUAACUUGUUCUAGCUUUCGAGUACACCACUUCCCCUGCCGUAAAACCCUUAAUUUUUAAUGGUUGACAUCGGAUCAGGUAGGAAUACCCGCUGAACUUAAGCAUAUCAAUAAGCGGAGGA
rnacentral:misc_RNA from 1 species